GCAGUCGAGCGGAACACAAGGGAGCUUACUCCUGAGGUGUCGAGCGGCGGACGGGUGAGUAAUGCUUGGGAAACUGCCCAGUCGUGGGGGACAACCAUUGGAAACGAUGGCUAAUACCGCAUACGCCCUACGGGGGAAAGAAGGGGACCUUCGGGCCUUUCGCGAUUGGAUGUGCCCAAGUGGGAUUAGCUAGUUGGUGAGGUAAGAGCUCACCAAGGCGACGAUCCCUAGCUGGUUUGAGAGGAUGAUCAGCCACACUGGAACUGAGACACGGUCCAGACUCCUACGGGAGGCAGCAGUGGGGAAUAUUGCACAAUGGAGGAAACUCUGAUGCAGCCAUGCCGCGUGUAUGAAGAAGGCCUUCGGGUUGUAAAGUACUUUCAGCGAGGAGGAAAGGGAGUAGGUUAAUAACCUGCUUCUGUGACGUUACUCGCAGAAGAAGGACCGGCUAACUCCGUGCCAGCAGCCGCGGUAAUACGGAGGGUCCGAGCGUUAAUCGGAAUUACUGGGCGUAAAGCGUACGCAGGCGGUUUGUUAAGCGAGAUGUGAAAGCCCCGGGCUCAACCUGGGAACUGCAUUUCGAACUGACAAACUAGAGUUUUGUAGAGGGUGGUAGAAUUUCAGGUGUAGCGGUGAAAUGCGUAGAGAUCUGAAGGAAUACCAGUGGCGAAGGCGGCCACCUGGACAAUAACUGACGCUCAUGUACGAAAGCGUGGGGAGCAAACGGGAUUAGAUACCCCGGUAGUCCACGCCGUAAACGAUGUCAACUAGCCGACUGGUGCCUUGAGCACUGGGUGGCGCAGCUAACGCAUUAAGUUGACCGCCUGGGGAGUACGGCCGCAAGGUUAAAACUCAAAUGAAUUGACGGGGGCCCGCACAAGCGGUGGAGCAUGUGGUUUAAUUCGAUGCAACGCGAAGAACCUUACCUACUCUUGACAUCCACAGAACUUUUCAAAGAUGAUUUGGUGCCUUCGGGAACUGUGAGACAGGUGCUGCAUGGCUGUCGUCAGCUCGUGUUGUGAAAUGUUGGGUUAAGUCCCGCAUUUUUUCGUAACCCCUAUCCUUAGUUGCCAGCACGUAAUGGUGGGAACUCUAGGGAGACUGCCGGUGAUAAACCGGAGGAAGGUGGGGACGACGUCAAGUCAUCAUGGCCCUUACGAGUAG
rnacentral:rRNA from 1 species